rnacentral:rRNA from 1 species
CCCCUAGAUGUUCUGGGCCGCACGCGCGCUACACUGAUUCAUGCAACAAGUUUUGUCCUUGGCUGAUAGGCCUGGGUAAUCUUUGAACGUGAAUCGUGAUGGGGAUAGAUGAUUGCAAUUAUUCAUCUUCAACGAGGAAUUCCUAGUAAACGCAAGUCAUCAGCUUGCAUUGAUUACGUCCCUGCCCUUUGUACACACCGCCCGUCGCACCUACCGAUUGAAUGGUCCGGUGAAAUCUCGGGACGGCGGCUUGGUCGCUUGCGUCCGACUGCUGAAACUUGAUUAAACCAUAUCAUUUAGAGGAAGGUGAAGUCGUAACA